rnacentral:siRNA from 1 species
AUAAUGUUGGGACUGCAAAAUUU